rnacentral:rRNA from 1 species
UGGGGAAUAUUGGACAAUGGGCGAAAGCCUGAUCCAGCCAUGCCGCGUGAGUGACGAAGGCCUUAGGGUUGUAAAACUCUUUCGUCGGGGACGAUAAUGACGGUACCCGAAGAAGAAGCUCCGGCUAACUUCGUGCCAGCAGCCGCGGUAAUACGAAGGGAGCUAGCGUUGUUCGGAAUCACUGGGCGUAAAGCGCACGUAGGCGGAUAGUUAAGUCAGGGGUGAAAUCCUGGGGCUCAACCCCAGAACUGCCUUUGAUACUGGCUGUCUCGAGGUCGAGAGAGGUUGGUGGAAUUCCUAGUGUAGAGGUGAAAUUCGUAGAUAUUGGGUGGAACACCUGUGGCGAAGGCGGCCCUCUGGACGAUAACUGACGCUGAGACGCGAAAGCAUGGGGAGCAAACAGGAUUAGAUACCCAAGUAGUCCCUGAGCGGGCUGGCAAGGCGCAU